AUACUCGGAAACCGGAGCUAAUACCGGAUAAUAUUUCGAACCGCAUGGUUCGAUAGUGAAAGGNGGUUUUGCUAUCACUUAUAGAUGGACCCGCGCCGUAUUAGCUAGUUGGUAAGGUAACGGCUUACCAAGGCGACGAUACGUAGCCGACCUGAGAGGGUGAUCGGCCACACUGGAACUGAGACACGGUCCAGACUCCUACGGGAGGCAGCAGGC
rnacentral:rRNA from 1 species